rnacentral:rRNA from 1 species
UACGUAGGGCGCGAGCGUUGUCCGGAAUUAUUGGGCGUAAAGAGCGCGUAGGCGGUCCGAUAAGUCGGCUGUGAAAGUCAGGGGCUCAACCCUUGAAAGCCGGCCGAUACUGUCGGACUAGAGUCCGGAAGAGGCAAGUGGAAUUCCCGGUGUAGCGGUGAAAUGCGCAGAUAUCGGGAGGAACACCAAUGGCGAAGGCAGCUUGCUGGGACGGUACUGACGCUGAGGCGCGAAAGCGUGGGGAGCAAACAGG